UUUUUUUUUUUUUCCUAAAUGUUGAUUAUUCAAUGUGCUGGAUCUUAGUCAAAAAGCUUGAGAAAAGGAAAUUCUGUAGUUCUUUAGAGUGCUUUCACAUGUAGUAUUGCGAUUAAUUCUCAUUGUUUGGAGUCACAGAGGUAGGGAUAGCAUUAUUCAUUUGAGAAUUUCAAUUAAAGGCAAGGAGUUUGCCAUAUUUUUUUUUUUUUUUUUUUGUCUUUUCUGUGGCCCCACCCACAGCAUAUAGAGGUUCCCAGGCUAGGGGUCAAAUCGGAGCUGUAGACACCGGCCUACACCACAGCCACGGCAACGUCGGAUUGAGCUGCAUCUGUGAUCUACACCACAGCUCAUGGCAACGCCAGAUCCUUCACCCACUCACCGUAUCUUUUUUGUUUUGUUUUUGAGGAGGGAGAUUUUUAGGGAUGCUUAAGGUUGGAACAAAAUAUGUAGUAGAACUUGAAAUACAUGGUAUCUCAGAUUCAUUGUCCCAUCUGUUGUCAUAUGCUUACGGAAAAGAGUAGAAACGUAAUACACAAGUGAACUUUGUUGUAACAAAGUCAGGUCUCUCUGAAAGGGCAUGCAAUUUAAUCCUUACCUCAGAAUGAUUAAGAACAAUGAAGUUAAAAGAAAUAAAACCCUUGAGGUAAAGAACUUUCUGGAAUUCCCUGAGUUCUUUAGAGAGGUGUUGGGCGUUUUGUUAACACUGAUGUUUAAUGUAUAUUAAGUAAUGUUUAAAAUUUAAUUUUCAUUCAUUUAAAAAAUUCAUACAUUUUAAUAUGUUCUUGAGUUCAAGAGUGAGAAGCAAACCCUAGAAUUCAAUGUAAUAUGCAGAUUUACAGAGUGAAGGACCCUAAAUUUGACUUUGAGGAUACCAAUGAAGGUAAAGGAUGUCUGAAACUGUGGGUUCUGAUGAUAAACCCAGUAUCAUCUUUCCAAGUUAAGCCCCUAUCCAGGUAGCUUAUUUCCUUCUUUUCGGGGUCUCUUGCUUUGCAACUGUUAAGUGCAAAGAGCAUUAUUUUUGUUUAUUUGUCUAAUGUGCUUAAGUUAGCAAACUAGCAUUGAUUUAAAAAAUUAAGAGUCCUUAGUUCUGGCAAAGGUCCAGUGAAAUUAAUACUUUUAUAUCCUGCAGUCAGAAUGAAUUUAAGCUAUUUUAGAAAGCAGUUUGUUAGUACAUUGUAAGACAUUUAAAUGUGACCUUUUAAUUCUGCUUCUGGGCUCCCAUUGUAAGAAAUAAUCAGAAACACAUACAAAUUUUAUGCACAAAGAUGUUCACCAUAGUAUUGUUCAUAAAAAUCCAGAAAGUGCCUUUGGGCUGUUUUCAGUAAUGGAAACAGAAAAAUUAUGUAGUCAUUCAGUAAUGUAUUUACAUAGCUUCUAAAAUGACACAUGCUGAAAAGUUUGAAUUAAAUGAGAAAGGAAAAUACUUAUGCUAGAGUGUUAAGUUGAUGAAAAACAAGUUGUAAGAUUUAUACAACUUCUAGUCAUUAGGGAGUGACAGUAGCUCUUGAUGUUCCAGUGUGUCUUUACCUUCCUGAUGAGUUGAUGCACUAUCAUUGUCGAAUAGGAAUAGUGGCUUUGUGAUCUACUCUAUCAAGUCAACAAGCACUCAUUUCCCAUUUACUCUGUCAGAUAGUAAGCUGGGCCCUGAGAUACAAAGAUGAAGAGCCUAAAACCUCCGGUAUUUGAAUGCAACCUUGGUGUUUACUUGCGUUUACUAGUAAGCAAUGGCAUUUUAGCUAAAUAUCACAGCCUAGGUUUCUUUCCUGGUUGGAAGGCUUGGUUUGUUUUAGGAAUCAAGGUGGGCCAAACCAAAGAACAGCCUAAAAGCAGUUAGGAAAUCCAACUUACCUGAGGAAAUCGGAAGGGGGCAGUUUGUUCUGAAUAUUUGUGUAUUUGGUGGGGGGAGGGGUGGAAUCCGUAGAUCCUAGAAUUGAGAUUUGGGAGUAAAAUUUGGUAUGUUUUUAAAUGUUGUGUCUACAUUCCUCCCUCCUUGGGUCCUAAAGACCUUUAACCUGCCAGGUUUGUGCUAGGCUAUGCUAUCAACUAGGGAUUGGUCUGUCUGCCCCACUUAAUAGAGAAUCCAUAAAAGGCAGGUACCAAAACUUAUCUUUUAGUCCACUUCCCCAGCCUUUCAUAAUGUCUGGCAAAUGGUAGACACUCAAAUUGUACUUGGAAAAAAGGAAUUACUGAUAUACAGAGAGUUAACUGCUGAUACAGAAUAGAUGGAUGGAGAAAGACCAAGUUAACAUUUGAGUGGCACAAAAAAAACAUGGCUUCCUCAAUACCAUUGCUCUUCAGGGUAAACUUUUAGGAAGAAUAAUUACUCUGUUUUAUUUUUUAAUUUUUAAUUUUUUUUUUUUUUUUUGUCUUUUCUAGGGCCGCACCUGAGGCAUAUGGAGAGUCCCAGGCUAGGGGUCGAAUUGGAGCUGUAGCUGCCGGCCUACACCACAGCCACAGCAAUGCCAGAUCCAAGCCACAUCUGCAACCUACACCACAGCUCACGGCAACACCGGAUCCUUAGCCUGCUGAGUGAGGCCAGGGAUCAAACCUGCAACCUCAUGGUUCCUCGUCGGAUUCUUUAACCACUGAGCCACGGUGAGAAUUCCAGUAAUUAUUCUGUUUUACAGGCCAGUGAGGUUAUCUAGUAUCUCAUACCUACUAUAUCACAAGGACUUAGUAAGUUUGAGACUGAUUAUAAAGCAACAUAAGCUCCUUGGAAGAAAAGUGCUAUGCAUAUCUGAAUUGGAAAUUUGAUUAUUUUUAACUCCAGUGGGAGUUCAAUGGCAAAUGCAGAGUGAAAAAGGCUUAAGAUUUGGAGGAAAACAUGCUGUAAAAAGAAUAUGAGUGUGAUAAUUAUAAAAAAUGCUUGAGAUUAGUCAUACUGAUAGAAUAUAAACACAUAAGAAUUACUAUAUAUGUACAUGUGCAUAUAUAAAUAUGUUUUGUGUAUAUGUUUUCCAUAUAUAUAUGGAAAAAGUCAAUUAUUGGAGUUCCCGUUGUGGCACAGUGGAAAAGAAUCCGACUAGGAAGAAUGAGAUUGUGGGUUCGAUCCCUGGCCUUGCUCAUUGGGUUAACGAUCUGGUGUUGCUGUCAGCUGUGGUGUAGGUGGCAGACGCAGCUUGGAUCUGGCAUUGCUAUGGCUCUGGUGUAGGCCGCCAGCGACACCUCCGAUUAGACCCCUAGCCUGGGAACCUCCAUAUGCCACAGGUGCGGUCCUAAAAAGACCAAAAGACAACAACAACAACAACAACAAAAAUGAAAAGGAAAUUAUAGAAAACAUCAAUAAAUAUUCUCUGAAUCAUAUGUUUCAAAACUGUACUAGUUUCCAAGGCCACCAUAGCCCAAGAUUUUUCUAUUUUCUUAGUGAUACAGGACAUAUACACAUAGACUCACAUAUAGUUAAAGAAAUACGUGCAGACAUAUGCUAUAGGAAUUUCAGUCAUUUUUUUUAAGUAGGUCUAGAAUUAGUCUUUUCAACCUCUAAAUGUUGUCAUUGAAAACUUUUGUGUACAGUCAAGCAUGGAUAGAAGGCAGAUCAUUUUGCAAUUAAAUUUCCUUAUGUUAUAAAUAAAAAGUCUGAUAUUUGGAAAGAUAAAGGAUGUAUAUCUUCCUUUCCUGCUCUAAAAGCUUCAUGGCAUUUCUUGUCUACAGAAUAAAGUCCCAAAUCCUCUUUCUCUUUUUCUCUCUUUCUCUCUUUUUUAACCUCCGAGGUCUGUUUUCCACUGUAUGCAGACUGUUCAGCAUUAUAAAAUGUACACCGAGUCAAAGUGACCUUCCCUCAAUUUCCUACCUCUGAGUUUCUAUUAAAUGUGAUGCCAGCUCCAUGCGCCCUGUGCUAAGACACUUACUUUUUAAAUUAAGAAACUUAUUUUAUCUUACAAAAUCCUAAUGGUGACGGAAAGAUAGUUGCUAUUAUAUUGUUGAAUAUUUUUUUUUCUAAACCACGUCUAGUGAGUGUAGCCUUAAUAUAAAGUCACGUUUUUUGAGCAGAUGCUUGCCCCUGUUCUCCACCACCUAGACUGCCCUUUUGUCUCUAUCUCUACGUAUCUAAGUCCCACCUAUUCUUCAGAUCCAGUUUAUAGGAAAGUUCGUCCCUAAGUCUUUUCUGUAAGUGACCUCUCCCUCCUUUGACCAGCUGUCACUCUUUAAUUCUUUAGAGGCCAUACAUCAUCUUUUACAGGAUUUUACAAAAAAUGAUACCCAUCUCAUCUUUCUACCACCAGCUCACAAGCUUUCAGAAUAUAAAGAAUGAUGUAUGUUAUAUUUGACCAACUUUUAUUGAUCACCGACAGUGUGCCUGGUAUCAUGCAAUGCCUUUCCAUGCACUUGCCUUAUGGAACCCUCCCAGCAGUGCUGAGAGAAGAAAUCAUCUGCAUUUUACAGACACACAAAGUGGGCAAGUGCUAGAAAUUACAGAGCAGGUGCAAAGCCAGUAUUUGUAAUUGAGUCUUGAUUUUGUAUCUAGAGACAUUUCCUUUACGUUCAGAAGCCUCGUGGACUCCUCAAUGGAGGGUCUUGCAACUAGGAAGCAUGUGAUAGAACCUAUGGAAUGAAUAGACAUGAAUCACUUUGUCACCUAAAGAGAAUCUUGCACAUAAAAAUACAUGGGCAGUUCUGACAGUCUCAAACUUUUGGAUUUCACACAUUUGGUUCUGUACUGGACAAUCUUGAGUGUCCAAGACUAUCUUGGACUCAACUACCCACUCCUCAGUUUGCGUGCCCUUCCCUCGUGUGCUCUGUUUUCAUAAUGAACCCACUUGGCCCCAAACAUCUAGGAAUGCUCCUAAACUGGUUCCUUCUGUGACUGCCCUCCUUCUCUCCACCACCUAAUGGAAUACUGAAUUCUGAAAAUUCUUCCUUUUCAAUAUCUUUUGAAUCUGAACCACCCUCCCUGUCACUUGGGGUCACUGACAGUUGCCGUCAGCUUUUCUUCUCUCAGUACCAUCCUCCAUACUUCUAGAAUGCGAUUUCUAAAAUGGAAGUCUGAUCAUCUCACUUAGCAGUGGAAAAUUCUUUUUUUGGUAGCCCUCUGCUGCCGACUUGUCAGCAUAGCAUAUGUGUCUUUUUAUGAUGUGGAUUCCAACUCUGUUCACCCUCAGCUCCCACCACUACCCGUUUGUCAACACAGGCCAUUUUCUAGAACAAGUGCUUCUCUCAGAUGUUCUUGACUUUGGGCGUGGAAUUCCUCUCCCUGUCUUGCAAAUUCCUACUCAUCCUUGAAGACUGAACUCAAAAGCUAUG
rnacentral:lncRNA from 9 species